GAUCAACGCUGGCGGCGUGCAUGAGACAUGCAAGUCGAACGGACGACAAAGCUUGCUUCGUCGUUAGUGGCGGACGGCUGAGUAACGCGUGGGUGACCUGCCCCGAAGUGGGGAAUAACUGCCCGACAGGGUGGCUAAUACCGCAUGUGGUGGUGCGUUCAAUCGCACCAGUAAAGCCGCAAGGCGCUUCGGGAGGGGCCUGCGUCCGAUUAGCUCGUUGGUGGGGUAACGGCUCACCAAGGCGACGAUCGGUAGGUGGUCUGAGAGGACGAUCACCCAGACUGGGACUGAGACACGGCCCAGACUCCUACGGGAGGCAGCAGUCGGGAAUUUUGCGCAAUGGACGAAAGUCUGACGCAGCAACGCCGCGUGAGGGAUGAAGGCCUUCGGGUUGUAAACCUCUUUUCUCAGGGACGAUGAUGACGGUACCUGAGGAAGAAGCCACGGCUAACUACGUGCCAGCCGCCGCAGUAACAC
rnacentral:rRNA from 1 species